rnacentral:rRNA from 1 species
UACGUAGGGCGCAAGCGUUAUCCGGAAUUAUUGGGCGUAAAGAGCUCGUAGGCGGUGUGUCGCGUCGGCCGUGAAAACCUGCAGCUUAACUGUGGGCUUGCGGUCGAUACGGGCAUCACUGGAGUUCGGCAGGGGAGACUGGAAUUCCUGGUGUAGCGGUGAAAUGCGCAGAGUAUCAGGAGGAACACCGGUGGCGAAGGCGGAUCUCUGGGCCGAUACUGACGCUGAGGAGCGAAAGCGUGGGGAGCGAACAGG